rfam:Coccomyxa subellipsoidea C-169, whole genome shotgun sequence.
GGCGCUGUAGUGUAGUGGUUAUCACAUUGGACUCUGAAUCCAAUAACCCCAGUUCGACUCUGGGCAGUGCCU